rnacentral:rRNA from 1 species
AACGAACGCUGGCGGCAUGCCUAACACAUGCAAGUCGAACGAGAACAGCGGGUCGGGGGGCGCACGGGGGCGUAAGGCGGGGGAACACGCCGGAAGGUUCGGAAUAACGGGGCGAAACGGGUGCUAAGAGCAGAUAAUGCCUCAGGACAAAAUAUGUAGCGAGGUUGGGUGGGCCCGAGUUGGUUUAGCUAGUUGGUAGGGUAAAAGCCUACGAAGGCGACGGGACAUAGCUGGUCUGAGAGGAAGAUCCGCCACACUGGGACUGGGACACGGCCCAGACUCCUACAGGAUGCAGCAGUGCGUAAUCCUGGAAAGUCGGCGAAAGGCUGAUCCCGCUAUGGCGCGUGAGUGAUUAAGUACUUAGCGUUGUACAGCCCUCUUAUCCGGGAUGAUAAUGACAGUACCGGAAGAAUAAGCUCCGGCUAACUCCGUG